AUCGCAUGCCUGGGUCUCCAGUUUGGCUGGAUUCCAGAACACCUGGCCCAGCAUUCCUAAGCCCAGGGCCCUGCAUGAGCUCAUUCUGAUGACGAAUAGAAUCCCUGAUCUUCCCAUCAUCCCAGCCCCAUCCUGAGCCCUGAAAGAAAUGGAAACUUUCCUGGCAAGAAAGAGCCUGGGGUCCCAUCCUGACUCUGACACUUCCUGCUGCCUCUGUAACCUUGGCAAGGCACUCUAUCUGUUGGGGCCUCAGUUUCCUCAUCUGUAAAAUGAAAGCUGGAGGGUCUCCAGCUAAACCACCCUCCAUGAUCCUGUGGUCCCCUAGCUUGGGGGGUCCUGCACCUGGUGCCAACUCUUCCACCCCUGCAGUGAGGACAGCAAUUACGUCCACCACCUUGGUACUGAGAGGAAGGAGGAGAGUUCUUGUCACCCUUUCCCAUUUGGCCAUCGUAUCCAGUGCUUGGCCGUGACAAAGGGCUCCUCGGUGGAAAUGACCCAGACAAGAGGCAUUGCCAUCUGCAUCGCCGCUGCCUGAGGAGACUCCCCUCGACCUGAAGCUGAAACCCCCACUAUGGUUUGGCUCCCCCACCAAGCUCCUUGUGUGCAGGGAUUGUUUCGGUUUAGGCAGCUGGGGGUGGGGUGGACAGUGCUGCACCUGGAGUCCAUAAGAAGACCUGAGUUCAAAUUCAGCUUCGUGGUCUACCUUAGUUUCCUCACCCGUAAAAUGGAGGAAAAAUAGCCCCUGGGUCCUAGGGUUCUGGAUGGCAAAUGCUCUGUAAACCUUAAAGCGCUGUUGACUCUAUUGAUCGUUACUGUUCUUCUCUUCUGUCUUGGCACACAGCAGUCAUCCAAUAAAUACUCACUGAGCCAUG